GCCGGGGUAGCUCAGCUGGGAGAGCAACAGACUGAAGAAGUAAAGCAUUCUGGAGGUCCCGUGUUCAAUCCACGGUCCUGGCA